UUUACUUUUUUGACAAGUAAACCAAAACCAUUAGUUAGAGAAAAAAUGAUUGGCAUACAGUUCAGGGAUAGGUGAUUACUGUGAAACUGUAGAAGAUAAGUAGGAAGAUUAGUUUAUUAAGAAUGUUGGAAAUACAUCAGGGAAAAUGAUGACCAAAUGGGGGAAAAAAUAUAUUUUAAAAAAAGUUAAUCAAAUCAACAAAGAAUGACAAAACAACUAUCUAAAUCUAUUUACUGCUCAUAUUGUUCUACUAUAGUUGGAAAAAUAUCUGUGUUAUGAACUUCUGUGUUCCAUGUACAAUAAUGAGUGAAUUUGCUAGUAUAGCAAUUUUGCAUUGCAUUAGCUUAUAUUGUUAUUCACCUAAAGCUAAUAUAAGGAAACAAGAGUCUUAGUCAAACAAAUCCCUGGUUCCAGCUGUAUUACCCAGAAGAAAAAAAAACUUUCAUAAAGCUGCUUAUUCUAAAGAAGGGAGUUAGAAAGUUUUCACUCCAUCAAAGCACUGGUGCUUCAAAGUCUCCUUUUGAUCAAUAGAAAACUCCAAGGCAGAAAUUUCACUUAUAAAGGGAUUUACUACCAAUGUGUAUGAAUGAAUAAAAUGAAAGACUAAGAAAAGAGCAUUAGAUCACUUUAGUUUUGGCUACCAAAUAAUUUUCCUGGUAUAGCAUAACUGCAUUUUUAACCAGAUGAGGUACAUAUGUUUACCUCUGAUAUACCAUCUUACACAUAAUUUGCCUGAGACUUAGAAGUUUGUGGCCAAUAUGAUAAUAGGAUAGAACAUUUGUAAGUAAAAAGAACUUUAUGACCAGAGCAAUAAAGACCCAACACCCACCUGGCCUUUUCAUUCCUUUCUGAUUGUAUGUAAGUUUGUAGUAAGUAACUAGUAAGUAGUUAGUGGAUACAUUUGAAGAGUCUUUUCUUUCUAAUGCUAUAAGUAAGUUUAUUGGGGCAGUUAAAUGAGAAAACUUAAUUAAUCUUCCUACUUUGAUUUAGAAUACUUUAUACAGAGGCAUACCAUACAUAAAUUUAGGACACUACAAAGUUAUCUUUUCCUCCUAUUAAAUACAACUCUAUUUUUAAUGGCCAUAAUAAUUAUCAGAUCCUCUCUACUGUAAUGUUUGAUUUAAGUUUACAUAAUGAGCACUGAAUCUUAGAGUGCACUACAUAAAUCAGACUAUUUUCACAACCAGUUCCAGUCUGCCUAACAGUGUAGACAAAAGUGAAUUUUUAUACCUAGGGGGUCAUGAAACAGAAAGAAGUCCUGUGAAACAAAGCUUGUCAAAUGAAAGGAGAAGAAGGACGAGGACAUCUUGGGGGAGAAAGCUCUCCAUCAGUUAUUAGAAUCAGCCCUGCGUAUUGCGGAGUAACUCUUCAGGGAGAGCAGCGAGUGAGAGAAUCCAGGUGCACAUACACUGUGCUGCUCACCCAAACCCACUCACUGUAUCACUCUACACAAACUCCCUCACAGUUCACCUCAGCUGGCAUGCCAGCAGAGACAUGGCCUGAAUGGCAUCAGAAAAACGAUAAAGCUGGGUCCCUCCCCAGCACUGACACACACUGACGCCAAACUGCCCCUGUAUAGCCUCCCUACUCCCCACAAAAAGCAUAACCCACACCUCUGUUGAUGGUUUCUCAAUGCUGCAUUCAUGGCAAUUUGACAGGGUUUUAUGUUGUCUAUCAAAAUAAAGCAGCCACUGUCCCCCCACUGCCAUCUGGAACCUAUGGAAGAACUGAUAAGUACUUUUUGGAACUGAUAAAAUACUUUUGGAACUGAAAAGACUGGGUGCUCUGUUCCCCAGUACAAUUAGUGUCAAAUGGAGAACCAUGCAGAAGACCACCUGAAAUGGGUUUCUGAAGGCACUAAAUCAGCUCCAUGGGGAAGACAAGAAGAAUUGCUGCUUUACCUGCAAUUGUGAAAAGAUGGACAAUGUUGAUCAAAGUUGUCCAGAAAAAGACAAUGAGAAGAUUGAGAACUGUUUCAGUGGUAUACUCUGUAGUAUUUAAAAGCAAUUUCAGGCUUACUGAUGUGAAGCAUUAGAAAAAGUUCUCUCUUGUCUAAGUUCUAAACGUUAUAUUCUACUGCUAACAUGUUGAUAUUAUUCUGUUUUCUGUUAAUCAGAUAGGCAACAAAAACAGUGAGUAAUUUUAUUUUUGCCCCUGUCUCCCAAGUCCUAGCAGAUCCAACAAUACUGUGAGUGAUUUACUAAGUGUGAAUUUACUCAGGGCACCACUUUUUUUUCUGGAGGACGCUUUCUAUGUGCAUGUUUAUGGGACUACUGUAAGACACUGAACACACAUUCUGUGAGAAAUGAUCCUCUCAGAGGCCAGGAAGCAUAAGGCAGAACCUGAAAAGAAGUUUUGGAAUUCUACUUUGAGUAAACAGAGAGGCGACUGUUUUCUUUUAUUAUUAACAUAAAUCCAAAGUUCCAUAUACUGUCAGUGUCAUCAUAACGCAGAACAUUACUAACUUUAAUUGCUUAUAGGCAAGAUAAGUUUUUGAAUUUAUUGUCUUAGAACAUGCAACAGAUAACAGACUAUGAAGACAUUUUUCUCAGGAUGAUCUUCAAAUUUUUUCAGGAACUACCUACAUCAUUAGACCAAAGGUAAAUUAAUGUAAACUCAGAGAAGCUAGAGCAGACUGGCAAAUGGCAGAGAGGAUAGAAGACAUAAGCAAAUUUUACCUCAGCAAGCCUCUAGUCCUGCCCUGAGAUACAGGAGUUAAAUUCAACCAGAUGAGUUUUCAAAUUUCUACUGUCUGUAUUUGAAAAAGAGAAUUUAUACUUGAUUUGCUUCUGAAAUAAAAUUCAACCUGUGAAUUCCUGAGCUUUACAAGAAUUCAAGAUCAGAAGUUUCACCAAACGCUUGGUUUCACUGAUGAGAUUUCUGUGGGAAUGGUGAAGUGGAAAAGGGGAUGUGACAGAGUCACUUCAAGAUGCUCAUGAAGGAAGGUAAUUAAGAUUUGUUUUUAUGAAAGACUUCAAAAAGCAUAAUCUUGAAGUACUAUGUUUAUCAAGUAUGCUUGGUGUUAAUUCCUGACAUCUCUUUGGUGGGUACCAUUUCCUAAUCAUUCCAAGGAAACAAAAACCUGUAAUUUUACUGAUUUUCUUUCUCAUGGUUUUAAAAGGAUAGUGACGUUGCUCUGAAAACCUUUCAAGUCUUGGCCUGAAUUUUCAAAAUACCUAAUCCUUACCCAGAAUAUAAACAUACUACUUUUAGGUUUCAUUCUUUAUCUUAAUGACUUGAACAACAAUUUGGCCCCUUCCAAUUUCAAUUCACAGAACUAAGUAUUUCUUCCUGCUUGCCUUUCGCUAUUUAAAGCCCUCUGUUUGCUUUGAGGAAACACAGACUUUUUGUAUGGGGGUGCCUUAUUAAAAACUAACAGAGAUGCAAUAAAGAAUAACAGGAGAAGAUUGGGGAAAACAUGCAUUGUAAAUGUGCUCAUAUGUUUAGAAUCAUGAAGUCACAGAAACAUUUUAAGUUGGAAAAGGCCUUUAAGAUCAACAAGUCUAACUUCUAACCCAACACUGCCAAGUCCACCCCUAAACAGUGUCCCUAUAGCAAAAUUCAGUUGAUUUUGACUACUGAUAAAAAUUAUUAUAAAAUCAUCUGAAGUAAUCUUUUUCAAGUGGUUAGGUUGUAUUUCCUCUAUUAAAGCUUUUUUCCUUCUGUUUACUACUUUAAAUACCACUUUUUUAUAUUUUGUGAAACUCUUUCUUUCAAAAUCACAGGACAUGCUUUUCUAGGACCAUUAUGUUAACAUCAAAAGAAUAUAUUUGGCUUGAUAAAUAAGGAUUUACUUUCUGAUAUUAUCGUCUCUGUCAAUCCUUAGUAAUUGUAUUGCUUAGUGUAGUUCUUAUUUUCUUAUGUACAGUGGCAUUGUUCAUCAUAUCAGAAAUGUCAAGAAGCUAUUUAUAUAAGUAUUGAAAAAUUUUUAACAGACUAGUUAUAUUGCUAGAGGAAUAUCUGUACAACAGCCCAUCUUGUCCUCUCUCAUUCCAAAAAGAAGUCUACAUUAGCAUUUACAUUGUCCAAGUUACAUCAGUAUGUUGCACUAUUAAGAGUACAGUAGUAGCUGAUCUUGAAGAACUUGCUGAUUUUAAUAAAAUUAUUUGCAGAAAGGUUAAAAUAUUUAUAUGUAUGUGCCAAUAUCACUAUGCUUUACUAUUAAAAACAUCAUCCUAAUAAAUAAUUUUCACAUAAACAUGUACCAGAUGCUAAUAAACUGCUGCAACACCAAAUUCAGCAAGACUGAAAGAACUUCUUUCUAUCAGCAGUCUAAAAUCAGCAACCAGCUGCUCUCUUACAAGUGAUGAGACACCUCCAGUCUGGGACAUGAUAAGAAAAUUCCUGCCAUGAAUGGCAGAAUCAAUUCCGUUACUCCCAAAAAUUAUUUUACUAUUUAAAAUUGAACGCAGCUUGACUCUGUAAUGAAUCCAACAUUUAAGGGUAUCAGAGCUAGCAUAUAACAGGCCAGUGGAAUGGAAAUAUUGUUGGCCUUGCCAUUCUCAUAUUUUGAAGGAUACAUUCAGCUGCCUCUUUGUGGGAGAAUUCUGAUCCUGUGUUCAGCCCAGAGCAUUCUCAGGACCUGCACACAGAGACUGAGACAGUGAGCUGUUCCUACAUGCUGUCCUCAGGUUCAAACUCACCCAGUACACUGUAAAACAUAUUGAGGCCUUUUGCUAAUGUGCUGUUUUUUCCUCAUUUGCUUUCUGUCUAUCCAUGAAUCAGAAAAUUGCAUAACGUGCUAUUCAGAAAUGGACAAUUUCAGAAAUAAUUUGCAUUCUGCUAGACAAUUUCUGAUCCUUUUCCAUCUUCCUAGGGGAUGUUUGCUGAAGAAAAAUGAACUCUUGCAGAGAACUGCAAAAUCAUUACAUCACUUGAGUAGAGUCUACAUUUGCUUUAAAAAAAUUGUUUACAACAAGCCAAUUUAUUACAUAGAAAUCCAAAAAUUCUUGAGUCUCUUGGAACCUAAUAAAAAAGAGCCUGUGAUGAAUUGCUGUGACAAUUUAUCUUCUACUUGCACCAUCCAGGCUUCUAUUCGUUACCAGAAGAUUUACAUUUGUCCUACAGUAAAAACCUGCUAAAUGUGCAACCUUGUCACUUGAAUAAAUUCACUCAUUUAGAAUUUCUUUGUCUGCCACAGAAGAUUGUUUAUUGGGCUCUCUUGCCUGAAAUAGUUGUACUUUGGUGUAUUUCAAAUGUUGUAGCCAUCUUAAACAUCUGUUUAUAAUGGAAGUUAAUUUUUUCUUGGUUUUUUUGUUUUUUUUUUAAUGCAGGAAACAGGAAUCAGUCAGUCUUAAGCAGUUAAAUUUUGGUGAAGAAGAUUUACAACUAGAGUCAAAAGAAGCACCUUGCAAAAGAUUCCUUUGCGAAGAGAACAGUAUGUGAGUUUCUCUUAAACAUAAAAGCCUUUCCAGAAAUCAGGGUCUUCAUAGCAGAAACCAUUAGAGAAGCUUUUCACAAUGAGGUAUCACACAAAUUCAAAUGCAUGAGUCAUGUAGGCUCCACCACUAACACUGCAGUGCUGGCUUUCCUUUCAGAUGUCUAUGUACCUGCUCUGACGUUAGAGCCAGAAGCACCAUCAUGCUGAUCUUCCUACAUCCUUGGAAGGAAACACUGCAAGGAAGUCAGGAAACACUGCCAAAGUACUGGGGAAACAUGUCAAUAUAAAGAAGAUUUUAUUAAUUCGCAAAGUCGAAACUUUGACCUGACAUUUCCAGGCAGCUCUUGAGAGGGAGGAACACAAGAAGGCAGCAGGAACAGAAAACCUAUCACUGGAAAGCAAUGAGAGUCAAUGAGCCCGAAAAACAACUGUUUAGUCACGGUAAUCCUAAUAAGUAAGAGUAAUUUUUCAAGCAUGUCUUAUAGGCAGAUAUCUAACUGAACAGUGAGAUAACCUUUGGAAAAAAAAAAAUAAAGACCACUGCAGCUAGUAGCCUUUUAAGUUAGGAUCCUCGAAAGAGUAUGAAGUAAAAUUGUGCAUGUAAUGAUUGAGUAAGAAACAGAUGGGGAAAAUGGUGUAUUAUGAAGAAACUGAAUUAACAAGGAAGGCUUAAAUGACUUGUAAAGGAAAAUAAUUUUUCCAAUCUUCAAUGAUUUUGAACACAAACCUUCAGAAUUUUACUCAUUUACAUUUUAUAUUCUUGCAGUAUAUAAACCACCUUGUUUCAUUGUGAUGACCAAGUAAUGAGUCUGAUAUCUGAAUAACACUGUUUGCAUCUGGCACUAGCAGAUGGAAAGACUUACCAAAUAUACUUCGUAAUAUCUGUCUUUCAAUUUAUACUUUCUGAGUGGUGUGUUGUCAUCAUUAAUUAUGCUAACAAAUAAAUACAAAUGUUUUGACCUAAUAAAAUUCUAUGCACAUCAAAUAA